rnacentral:lncRNA from 1 species
AUUCAUUGCAUUUAAGUAAUCAAACAACCACAAACUGUCACUGUCACUUUCAUUUCCUGUCAUUGUUCAUCUUCUUUAGCUGCUCCCACUUUAUCACUGGAGUUGGAUGCCCCCUGCAUCUAAGUAUCAGAAAGGGAAGGCUGUAGGUGUGUACAUGUGCUAGAAAGAGAGGUGAGAGAGAGAGGCAGUGAAUGCUGGAUAGAUCGUGGUGCUGGGUUUAUAUCAUUCACCUGUGGUUUUAGAAACAUUUUUUUUUGGUUUGUUUCUUGGAUCAAAUGAAAAUCCUAGCCUUAUUGCUGCAGGAUUUUCUUAAUCCUCUCUCAGUAGUUAAAGACUAUCUCUAGUUUCACUUUGUUUGUUGCAGCUUGUGCAGAAGUGAUACAAGGCAGGUUUAAUUGCUUCCAUCAGCAGCUAUGGGAGAGGAGGAAGAGAGAGGAGAGAGAAGAGAGACAGAGAGAGAGAAAUGUCAUUGGCAAUGAAAAGAUAGCAACUCAUUUAUGUCAAAGAUAUAUCGGAAACUCUACUUCAAGCUUCCUCCUGCUGCACUGAAGUAAAUACUGUAUAUAUUUCAGGAAUUCUGUACAAAAUUAUAUAUUUGAUAACGGAGUGACUGCUGAUUCAGUAAACAUCGCAUAGCUGCACUGUAUUCACUGCGGUGCCACACAAUUUCUGCACAGUAGGCACAUGAAGGAGGGGAAUUGGUAUACAUUCAUAUUUGUAUAUCAAAUCCUCGAAUUCCCUGCCAAUCAUUUCGCAUACUGAUUGGGGAAACUGAGAAUUCCAUACUAUAUUGUGUAGGAAGAGAAAGGUCCAUUUUAGAGAUGAAUUGACUGAGUUAAUGAGAAAUGAAAAGCAUUUUCUAGAAAAUAUCAAAUAAAGAGCAUGAAGAAGAAGAAAGGAUAGGUGAU